AGAAUCAACGCUGGCGGCGUGCCUAACACAUGCAAGUCGAACGAGAAAGUGGAGCAAUCCACGAGUAAAGUGGUGCACGGGUGAGUAACACGUGACUAACCUACCCUUGAGUGGGGGAUAACCUAGGGAAACCUGGGCUAAUACCGCAUAAUACCUACGGGUCAAAGGAGCAAUUCGCUUAAGCGAGGGGGUCGCGGCCGAUUAGUUAGUUGGCGGGGUAAUGGCCCACCAAGACGAUGAUCGGUAU
rnacentral:rRNA from 1 species